UACGGAGGGUGCAAGCGUUAUCCGGAUUCACUGGGUUUAAAGGGUGCGUAGGCGGGUAAGUAAGUCCGUGGUGAAAUCUCUGAGCUUAACUCAGAAACUGCCGUGGAUACUAUUUGCCUUGAAUAUUGUGGAGGUGAGCGGAAUAUGUCAUGUAGCGGUGAAAUGCUUAGAUAUGACAUAGAACACCAAUUGCGAAGGCAGCUCACUACACAAUCAUUGACGCUGAGGCACGAAAGCGUGGGGAUCAAACAGGA
rnacentral:rRNA from 1 species